AUUAUGAAUUAAUAAGUUAAAGUAAUGAAAAAAAACAAUUAAGUUAAAUUAAGAUAGGAAAAAGGAAAAAGAAGGGGUAGACCUAAACUGAUUUAGAGUAGAGCAGUACAACAUGAUCUAGAAACAUUACACAUUUCCGAGGAUUUAACCCAAAAUCGUUUAGAAUAGAGAAAGAAAAUUCAUAUAACCGACCUCAAAUUCUUGGGAUAAAAGCUUAGUUGAGUUGAGUUAGGAUAGGAAAAAUGACACAUUUGGUAUAAUUAAGAAAGAAUUAGGUGAUAAUUAAAAAUUAUAAUUAGUCAUAUGACUUGCACAUGAUUAUGGCAGCCAUAAAACACCCUUAAAUCACCUUAAGUGCAGAAAACAAAAAUAAAAAGAGAGAGAGAGCAAAGUGGCCGAACCAAUGGAGGAGGAGGAAAGGGGAGGUGAAAUCAAGCAAUCCAACAUUGAAUUCUUCACUCUAAAUCAAGAUAAAGGAAAAGAGAAGGCUUCAAAGGAGUAAAGCCACACCCGUUACCAUAGGAACAUGGAGUCAUCUUGAAGUAUACAACAUGGAUUCCUUGGUUUUGUUUUAAUAUGAUGUUAACCACGUGCAACAGGACAGUAAAUUGAUAUCUGAGCAGAAUCACUUGUAUUUUUUUGUUACUUAUGUAUAAUUAUACACUUUAUGAUAUGAUUUACCUGUGAACUGAUUAAAAACAUUAGUAUGAAAUUAUGACACCAUGGGAAUGUGAUUAUGGGUUUGCUACAAAA